rnacentral:rRNA from 1 species
GAUGAACGCUAGCGGCAGGCUUAAUACAUGCAAGUCGAACGGUAACAUGAGUAGCAAUACUUGAUGACGAGUGGCGCACGGGUGCGUAACGCGUAUGCAAUCUACCUUCAACUGGUGAAUAGCCCGAAGAAAUUCGGAUUAAUACACCAUAGUAUAUUAGAGUGGCAUCACUUUAAUAUUAAACUCCGGUGGUUGAAGAUGAGCAUGCGUGACAUUAGCUAGUUGGUGAGGUAAUGGCUCACCAAGGCUACGAUGUCUAGGGGAUCUGAGAGGACUUAA